rnacentral:rRNA from 1 species
AGCUUGCUCUUCAAACACGAGUGGCGGACGGCUGAGUAAUGCAUAGGAAUCUGCCCCGAACUGGGGAAUAGCUUCGGGAAACCGAAGGUAAUACCCCAUAGUCCUCACUUUUUGUGAGGUAAAGGAUGUAACUGUUCGGUUUGGGAUGAGCCUAUGUCCUAUCAGGUAGUUGGUGAGGUAACGGCUCACCAAGCCUAUGACGGGUAGCUGGCCUCAUGAGGGUGGUCAGCCAGAGGGGGACUGAGACACGGCCCCCACUCCUACGGGAGGCAGCAAUUAGGAAUAGUCGGCAAUGGGCGAAAGCCUGACCGCGCAAUGCCGCGUGUAGGAAGACGCUCUAACGAGUGUAAACUACUGUGGCGAGGGAAGAAGUCUUCGGAUUGACGGUACCUCGCUAGAAAGGGGCCGCUAACUGCGUGCCAGAAGCGUCGGUAAGACGUGGGCCCCGAGCGUUAUCCGGUGUUACUGGGCGUAAAGAGUCGUGUAGGCGGUUCGAAAAGUUACCUUUCAAAUCCCAAUGCUCAACAUUGGAACUGGAGGUAAUACUCUCGAACUAGAGUUUUCUACAGGGUGAAUGGAACUGUGGGAGGAGUAGUGAAAUGCGUUGAUCCCCACGGGAACACCAGUGGCGAAGGCGGUUCACUGGUAGAAGACUGACGCUGAGACACGAAAGCUAGGGUAUCGAAGCAGAUUAGAGACCUGCGUAGUCCUAGCCGUAAACGCAUGCUUGCUAGCUGCAUUUCCGCCCCUUCGGGGGUUAGGUGUGGCGAAGGUAACCCGUUAAGCAACCGCUGGGGAUUACGUCGCAAGACUAAACUCAAAGGAAUUGGCGGGGAGGCACACAACCAGUGGAACAUGUGGUUUAAUUCGAAACAAACCGAAGAACCUCACCUGGGUUUGACAUGUAGCUGCUCAUCCUAUGAAAGUGGGACUCCUUCGAGGGUGCUACACAGGUGCUGCAUGGCUGUCGUCGGUUCGUUCCGUGAGGAGUGCCCUUAAGUGGGACAACGAACGCAACCCCCAUCGUAUGUU